AGAUGGAGGCUGUGUGAGAUGGAGACUUUGUGAGUUCUCCACAGCUGUGUGAGAAAGAGGUUGUGUGAAUGAAAAUACAAGAUCAGGAAACUGAUUCUUGGCGUAUUUCUUUAGUAUUAAACUAACAAUAACAAAAAUAUAAUGCAUUUGAAUAUUUCAAAAGUAACAUUCAGACUCUCAAGUAUGUUUUAAAUAACACAUUUCUACAAGCAUUUGAUUUGGGAAUUUCUUUGGGUUUUUUUUAGAAUUGGUG